rnacentral:tRNA from 1 species
CAGGGAAUAGUUUAUAUAGAAUGUCAGCUUUGGGUGCUGACGGUGGGGCUGUUGUUCCUUCCUUGA